rnacentral:rRNA from 1 species
AUUGAACGCUGGCGGCAGGCCUAACACAUGCAAGUCGAACGAGUGGCGGACGGGUGAGUAAUGUCUGGAAAACUGCCUGAUGGAGGGGUAUAACUUCUGGAAACGGUAUCUAAUCCCGCAUACCAUCGAAUGUGCCCAGAGGGGAUUAGCUCGUGGGGGGGGUAACGGCUCACCUAGGCGACGAUCCCUAGCUGGUCUGAGAGGAUGACCAGCCACACUGGAACGGAGACACGGUCCAGACUCCUACGGGAGGCAGCAGUGGGGAAUAUUGCACAAUGGGCGCAAGCCGGAUGCAGCCAUGCCGCGUGUAUGAAGAAGGCCUUCGGGUUGUAAAGUACUUUCAGCGGGGAGGCGUUACCCGCAGAAGAAGCACCGGCUAACUCCGUGCCAGCAGCCGCGGUAAUUC